CGGCCUGGCGCCGCGGGGCGCGCAACCCGCGCGUUCCGGGAAUCCACGCCUCCGGGAGAGAGGACAGCGCUGGCACAGGGAGGGGAAGGAGAGAGCUUCCCGUCCGGGCAGUCCGCAGGGUGGCCAUACCAGUGUUUCCUGCCUCCUGCCUUCUACCUGCCUGAAGCCAGUGGGUAGCCACAUCACGGAUCACACCCCAGACAUCCCCAGUCACGGGCUCCUCACCCUCCAGGUUCCAGUCUUGUCGACUUGAUUCCAGAAAUUCUCUGGCCUCCCUCCCCCACCCAGGCAAGCCAUGUGGUGCAGGCUCGUGACACAGAAGCCCCCUCACUGCCCCUUUGGCUGCUCCAGGUUUCCUCCUUGUAGUCCUCCACCUUCUACUGCACAGAUAACGGAUGGACAUGUGACUGUGGCCCUCCUUUGCUCCAUACCCCUCUGGAACUCCCCAUUGCCUGAGGGCAGAGCCUAAAGCACUCAAUCUGGUGCUCAGGGCUCUUGUGUUCAACCUCCAGCUGACCUCCCAGGUCUCACCUUCUCCCACCAAGUACCCAUCAGUCUGGCAGCCCUGAACCGCAGGAGUUUGCAAGCGUCUGUCCCUGCUGUCCUCUGCCUGGAAUGUCCUUACCCUUGUCUGGCUGGUACCCCCAGUUCUCUCCAUCUUUACAAUGCCCUCUUAGACAUCCCCACUUGUCUCAGAGCAAGACCCCAACCCACUUCCAUGCCCUGGAAGCACUAAGCACUAGCCCUCUCUUCUCGCUGUGUGAUGGGCGUGGACCUGACCAUGGUGACUGAACCCAUCAGCCUGCCUGAGAAGGAACCAGCCCAGGGGAAGCAGAGAGAGGGACUGACUUCCUCAGGAAGAAUUAAAAUGCUUGGAUCCAGCCACGCCUGGAGUUUAUGCUCUGCCUCAUGUUGGAAGCUGGUCUUUGCUUUUUGGAGGCUUCAGACUGACUCAAUGGUUUGAGCAAACUUUGGGAGAUGGUGAAGGACAGGGAAGCCGGACGUGCUGCAGUCCAUGGGGUUGCAAAGAGUCAGGCAUGAGCGACUGAACAACAACAAAUACGGAAAAUGGGACCAGAAGUUGGGUGUUGAGAUGAAUGGAUUCUAUGAUGUGGAACUGGCACUUCCUGUUACACACCAGUUGGGACUGCGGUCAGCUCCACCAAGGUGGAUUCUUCACCCACUCAGUCACCUGGGAAGCCCAUCCUUGGACAUAGGAGCUUUGAACCCAGGCCAAUCCAGCUCCAGGACUCACACACCGACUGCCCAGCAAGGUGUGGGGCACAUGGUAGAUCCCCCAAAUAGAAUGAACCUAUAAGAGCUCCCUGGAUGUGGAGGGCCAGCUGCUGCCAGCUGUGGGGACGGCUGAGUUGCUGAGUCCCCAGCUGAUCCACAGCUGGAGCACACACUGGCUCAAACUGCCCCAGUUAGCACACCUUUAAAUUUAGCUUUCUCUCCCUGCCAGGGAACAUGGGGAUUCAGCACGGGAACACUCCCUUCUUUCGAGGAAAAAUGCUUUGCAACUGGAGUGCGGGCCACUGGGCUACUCCUGCCUGGUCCAAGGAAGGGCCUCUCAGGUAGUGUACUCUGGGUGCCAGGGUGAGCUUUAGGUGGAUCUGCCUGUAACGGGAGAGGCUCCUUGCUCUUCCCCAGUCCCGUGUCCUGUCUUCCUGGUACCAGAAGUGGAGCCAGGUGCCUCAUUUCCCAGCCAUGUUUAUGGGUUCAAUAUGUGUAGCCUGGGCCCAUAUCACUUCCUGGCUUAACAUCUCCCCUGGGGAUGUCCCUGGUGUCCAGUGGUUAAGAACCUGCCUUGCAGUGGAGGAGAUGCAGGUUUGAUCCCUGGUUGGGGAACUAAGAGCCCCCAUGCCAUGGAACAGCUAACCCCUCCCUUGUACUGCAACUACUGAGCUUGCUCGUCACAACUAGAGAGUCCGUGCACCGCAACAAAGAUAUCUGCACGACGCGGUGAAGAUCCCACGUGUCACAGCUAAGACCCAAUGCAACCAAACCAACCAAAAACCUCCCCGGGUGCCAGCUGUGCUCAUAAAACCCAGCUCCUGGCUACGGCUUGGUGGGGCCGCUCUCACCUCUGCUCGCUUCUCUCUCCUGUUCCCAGAUGAGCCAGCACUGUCCAGCCCCAGGGCCUUUGCACAUGCCACUUUCUCCUCCUAGCACGUGCUCCCCCAAGCUCUUCGCAAGGCAGGAUCCUUCUUAGCACUUCCGACAAUGCCUCCGAGACCCUUCCCGACCACCCAGAGGGGCCGCCCACCAGCCAAGCCUGAUUACUGCCUGUUACCCUGUCUCACUCACUCUUGUCAGUUACCUGGGAUCUGCCUUGCUCUCCUUGAUGGAGCAUAGGCUCCAUGAGCAAGGGCAGAGGCUGGGUGUGGCCUGGGCAAUCAUUUAUCUCUGGAGCCUGGCAUGGGGGAGGCUCUCCUAGCACAAAAGAACACAGAAUCAUGUGAGAGGAUAAACUUACAGGAAGAGCAGGUGACCCACAAAGUGCCCGGAGACUUGCCCCUGCUCCAGGAUCCCACCUUGAUCCUCCCCAUCCUGUCCCACACCCUCGUGCUCUAACGCAGGAGGCAGCAAACUCCAUCAAGGGCCACGUGUCUUUUCUUCUUUUUAACUAUGUAUAUUUUUUUGGUUG